rnacentral:rRNA from 1 species
GUCUUUUUGAAGAUAAUUUAAAGUCAAACCUGCCCAGUGAUGCAAAUUUAACGGCCGCGGUAUUCUAACCGUGCUAAGGUAGCAUAAUCAUUAGUUUUUUAAUUGAAAGCUUGUAUGAAUGGUUAAAUGAGAAAAAUUCUGUCUCUAAAUUAUUUUAGUUGAAUUUUAUUUUUAAGUAAAAAAGCUUAAAUUUUAUUAAAAGACGAGAAGACCCUAUAGAGUUUUAUAUAAUUAGGGAAUUUAAAGGAUUAGUAAUUAUUUGUUAAUAUUUUUUAUUAUAUUUAGUUGGGGCGAUAGUAAAAUUUAAUUAACUUUUAUUUGAAAAAUCCAUAAAUUUAUGUAUAUUUGAUCCAUUAUUUUUGAUUAAAAGAAAAAAUUACCUUAGGGAUAACAGCGUAAUUUUUUUUGAGAGUUCUAAUCGAUAAGAAAGAUUGCGACCUCGAUGUUGGAUUAAAAUUUAUUUUUGGUGUAGAAGCUAAAAUUUUUGGGUCUGUUCGACCUUUAAAAUUU